AGACAACAUCAGAAUGUCCCUAC
rnacentral:miRNA from 1 species